CCGGAGCUUGCUCCACCGGAAAAAGARGAGUGGCGAACGGGUGAGUAACACGUGGGUAACCUGCCCAUCAGAAGGGGAUAACACUUGGAAACAGGUGCUAAUACCGUAUAACAAUCGAAACCGCAUGGUUUUGAUUUGAAAGGCGCUUUCGGGUGUCGCUGAUGGAUGGACCCGCGGUGCAUUAGCUAGUUGGUGAGGUAACGGCUCACCAAGGCCACGAUGCAUAGCCGACCUGAGAGGGUGAUCGGCCACAUUGGGACUGAGACACGGCCCAAACUCCUACGGGAGGCAGCAGUAGGGAAUCUUCGGCAAUGGACGAAAGUCUGACCGAGCAACGCCGCGUGAGUGAAGAAGGUUUUCGGAUCGUAAAACUCUGUUGUUAGAGAAGAACAAGGAUGAGAGUAACUGUUCAUCCCUUGACGGUAUCUAACCAGAAAGCCACGGCUAACUACGUGCCAGCAGCCGCGGUAAUACGUAGGUGGCAAGCGUUGUCCGGAUUUAUUGGGCGUAAAGCGAGCGCAGGCGGUUUCUUAAGUCUGAUGUGAAAGCCCCCGGCUCAACCGGGGAGGGUCAUUGGAAACUGGGAGACUUGAGUGCAGAAGAGGAGAGUGGAAUUCCAUGUGUAGCGGUGAAAUGCGUAGAUAUAUGGAGGAACACCAGUGGCGAAGGCGGCUCUCUGGUCUGUAACUGACGCUGA
rnacentral:rRNA from 1 species